GGCUUGUUAGUCUAGUGGUUAUGAUUUUCCCUUUACAUUCUAUGGUACUUCGUUGAGUUCUAGAAGCUCUAGAGGCUCUCGAGUAUGUGGUGUAACUUCGGGAAAGGUCGUGGGUUCGAACCCCACACGAGUCA
rnacentral:tRNA from 1 species